rnacentral:rRNA from 1 species
UACGUAGGCAGCAAGCGUUGUUCGGAAUUACUGGGCGUAAAGGGUGCGUAGGCGGCGCUCUAAGUUUGGUGUGAAAUCUCCCGGCUUAACUGGGAGGGUGCACUGAAAACUGGGGCGCUCGAGUAUGGGAGAGGAAAGCGGAAUUCCUGGUGUAGCGGUGAAAUGCGUAGAGAUCAGGAGGAACACCUGCGGUGUAGACGGCUUUCUGGACCAUAACUGACGCUGAGGCACGAAAGCGUGGGUAGCAAAC